UAGUCCACACAGUAAACGAUGAAUACUAACCGUUCGGGCGAAAGCGUCUGAGUGGUACAGCGAAAGUGUUAAGUAUUCCACCUGGGGAGUACGCCGGCAACGGUGAAACUCAAAGGAAUUGACGGGGGCCCGCACAAGCGGAGGAACAUGUGGUUUAAUUCGAUGAUACGCGAGGAACCUUACCCGGGCUCAAACGGCGGAGUGACGGCGCAGAGACGCGUCGGCCGGCAACGGACUCCGUCG
rnacentral:rRNA from 1 species